AUUGAACGCUGGCGGCAGGCCUAACACAUGCAAGUCGAGCGAGCGGCGGACGGGUGAGCAAUGUAUGGGGACUGCCCGAUAGAGGUGGAUAACUACUGGAAACGGUGGCUAAUACCGCAUACUGUCGCAUAACCCAUAGGGGAUUAGCUAUGAGGUAAGGUAAUGGCUUACCUAGGCGACGAUCCCUAGCUGGUCUGAGAGGAUGAUCAGCCACACUGGGACUGAGACACGGCCCAGACUCCUACGGAGGAAGCAGUGGGGAAUAUUGCACAAUGGGCGCAAGCCUGAUGCAGCCAUGCCGCGUGUAUGAAGAAGGCCCUAGGGUUGUAAAGUACUUUCAGUCGGGAGGCGUUACCGACAGAAGAAGCACCGGCUAACUCCGUGCCAGCAGCCGCGGUAAUAC
rnacentral:rRNA from 1 species